GUGGGUGACUAAUGACAGAGUGAGGAAAGGGGUGACACAGUGACAGAGUGAAGAAGGGGGUGACACAGUGACAGAGAGAGGGAUGGGGUGACUAGUGACAGUUACCCCCUCCCUCACUCUGUCACUAGUCACUCCCUCCCUCUGUCACCAGUCAUCCCCUCACUCUGUCACCAGUCAUCCCCUCACUCUGUCACUAGUAACCCCUUCCCUCCCCCACUCUGCCACUAGUCACCCAUUCCCUAACUCUGUCACUAGUCAACCCCUCUCCCUCUGUCACUAGUCACCCAC